rnacentral:rRNA from 1 species
UUUCGCAAUGCCCGAAAGGGUGACGAAGCGACGCCGCGUGUGGGAAGAAGGCCUUCGGGUUGUAAACCACUGUCGGGAGUUAGGAAAUGCAGGUGCGUUAAUAGCGCACUUGCUUGACUAAGGCUCCAGAGGAAGCCACGGCUAACUCUGUGCCAGCAGCCGCGGUGAUACAGAGGCGGCAAGCGUUGUUCGGAAUUAUUGGGCGUAAAGAGCACGUAGGCGGCCUUGCAAGUCAGUUGUGAAAGCCUUCCGCUUAACGGAAGAACGGCAUCUGAUACUACAGGGCUUGAGUACGGGAGGGGAGAGUGGAACUUCUGGUGGAGCGGUGAAAUGCGUAGAUAUCAGAAGGAACGCCGGCGGCGAAAGCGACUCUCUGGUCCGAAACUGACGCUGAGUGUGCGAAAGCUAGGGGAGCAAACGGGAUUAGAUACCCCGGUAGUCCUAGCCGUAAACGAUGGGCACUAAGUAGAGGGGUUUU